rnacentral:misc_RNA from 1 species
GUAAGUUUAGAAAAACUUUCAGCUGUUACAGUAGAUGAUGAUGGGAAGGAGACUUUUAUAACUGGUGGUGCACUUGAUCGAAUACUGAAGUUCGUUGAACUCAGCCAGUUAGCAGUUUAUCUUGACUGUGAUAUGUCACCUUGGUAUAUGGAUAAACCGUGGGAGGAUUUGCUUCCAUCAGAGUGGGACAAAGUAUUUCGUUUUGGUACCAA